UACGUAGGGGGCAAGCGUUGUUCGGAAUUACUGGGCGUAAAGCGCACGUAGGCGGCUUUGUAAGUUAGAGGUGAAAGCCCGGGGCUCAACUCCGGAAUUGCCUUUAAAACUGCAUCGCUAGAAUUGUGGAGAGGUAAGUGGAAUUCCGAGUGUAGAGGUGAAAUUCGUAGAUAUUCGGAAGAACACCAGUGGCGAAGGCGACUUACUGGACACAUAUUGACGCUGAGGUGCGAAAGCGUGGGGAGCAAACAGG
rnacentral:rRNA from 1 species